UACGUAGGGUGCAAGCGUUGUCCGGAAUUAUUGGGCGUAAAGGGCGCGUAGGCGGCUUGGCAAGUGGAAGGUGAAAUCCCUCGGCUUAACCGAGGAACUGCCCUCCAAACUGCUUCGCUUGAGACCGGGAGAGGUGAGUGGAAUUCCCAGUGUAGCGGUGAAAUGCGUAGAUAUUGGGAGGAACACCAGUGGCGAAGGCGGCUCACUGGACCGGUACUGACGCUGAUGCGCGAAAGCGUGGGGAGCAAACGGG
rnacentral:rRNA from 1 species